GCUGGGUGCAGUGGUGCAUGCCUGUAAUCCCAGCUGCUUGGGAGGCUGAGACAGGAAGAUCAGGAGUUCAAAGCCAGCCUCAGCAACUACAAGGUGCUAAGCAACUCAGCGAGAUCCAGUCUCUA
rnacentral:sRNA from 1 species